GACGAACGCUGGCGGCGUGCCUAAUACAUGCAAGUCGAGCGGGCUUAUUCGAGUAGCUUGCUAUUUGGAUAAGUCAGCGGCGGACGGGUGAGUAACACGUGGGUAAUCUGCCUCGUAGUCUGGGAUAACAAGCCGAAAGGUUUGCUAAUACCGGAUGAGUUCAUGUUAUUGCAUAGUGACAUGAAGAAAGGGGAGACCCGCUAUGAGAUGAGCCCGCGUCCCAUUAGCUAGUUGGUGGGGUAAAGGCCUACCAAGGCGACGAUGGGUAGCCGGCCUGAGAGGGUGGACGGCCACACUGGGACUGAGACACGGCCCAGACUCCUACGGGGGCAGCAGUAGGGAAUCUUCGGCAAUGGGCGGAAGCCUGACCGAGCGACGCCGCGUGAGGGACGAAGGCCUUCGGGUGUAAACCUCUGUCUGGGGGACGAGGUAAGGACGGUACCCCGGAGGAAGCCCCGGCUAACUACGUAG
rnacentral:rRNA from 1 species